rnacentral:rRNA from 1 species
GAAUAUUGCACAAUGGGGGAAACCCUGAUGCAGCCAUGCCGCGUGUGUGAAGAAGGCCCUAGGGUUGUAAAGCACUUUCAGUGGGGAGGAAAGGAUGUUGGUUAAUACCCAGCAUCUAUGACGUUACCAACAGCAGAAGCACCGGCUAACUCCGAGCCAGCCGCCGCGGUGAUACGGAGGGUUCGAGCGUUAAUCGGAAUUACGGGGCGUAAAGCGCGCGUAGGCGGCUGUCUAAGCUAGAUGUGAAAGCCGCGGGCUUAACCUGGGAACUGCAUUUAGAACUGGACUGCUAGAGUACAGCAGAGUAGUGUGGAAUUUCAGGUGUAGCGGUGAAAUGCGUAGAGAUCUGAAGGAACAUCAGUGGCGAAGGCGACACUCUGGGUUGAUACUCACGCUGAGGUGCGAAAGCGUGGGGAGCAAACAG